rnacentral:sRNA from 1 species
GUUUCAAUGCUAUACAAAAAGAGUAAGCAAGUUUAUGGUGGUGGCUAGCUCUUUCAACAAGAAAGGGUGAUGCCUAUGAAUAUUUUUGUUAGGAUUGCCUGGAAAGGAUAACCCAUGACCGUUUAUGAAGCACUGUCUUUUGCAGUUGCUUUUGCAACCCUGGUGUUGCUAUUGAACAGUCA